GGGUUGUGAGGUUAAGCGACUAAGCGUACACGGUGGAUGCCCUGGCAGUCAGAGGCGAUGAAGGACGUGCUAAUCUGCGAUAAGCGUCGGUAAGGUGAUAUGAACCGUUAUAACCGGCGAUUUCCGAAUGGGGAAACCCAGUGUGUUUCGACACACUAUCAUUAACUGAAUCCAUAGGUUAAUGAGGCGAACCGGGGGAACUGAAACAUCUAAGUACCCCGAGGAAAAGAAAUCAACCGAGAUUCCCCCAGUAGCGGCGAGCGAACGGGGAGCAGCCCAGAGCCUGAAUCAGUGUGUGUGUUAGUGGAAGCGUCUGGAAAGGCGCGCGAUACAGGGUGACAGCCCCGUACACAAAAAUGCACAUACUGUGAGCUCGAUGAGUAGGGCGGGACACGUGGUAUCCUGUCUGAAUAUGGGGGGACCAUCCUCCAAGGCUAAAUACUCCUGACUGACCGAUAGUGAACCAGUACCGUGAGGGAAAGGCGAAAAGAACCCCGGCGAGGGGAGUGAAAAAGAACCUGAAACCGUGUACGUACAAGCAGUGGGAGCACGCUUCGGCGUGUGACUGCGUACCUUUUGUAUAAUGGGUCAGCGACUUAUAUUCUGUAGCAAGGUUAACCGAAUAGGGGAGCCGAAGGGAAACCGAGUCUUAACUGGGCGUUAAGUUGCAGGGUAUAGACCCGAAACCCGGUGAUCUAGCCAUGGGCAGGUUGAAGGUUGGGUAACACUAACUGGAGGACCGAACCGACUAAUGUUGAAAAAUUAGCGGAUGACUUGUGGCUGGGGGUGAAAGGCCAAUCAAACCGGGAGAUAGCUGGUUCUCCCCGAAAGCUAUUUAGGUAGCGCCUCGUGAAUUCAUCUCCGGGGGUAGAGCACUGUUUCGGCAAGGGGGUCAUCCCGACUUACCAACCCGAUGCAAACUGCGAAUACCGGAGAAUGUUAUCACGGGAGACACACGGCGGGUGCUAACGUCCGUCGUGAAGAGGGAAACAACCCAGACCGCCAGCUAAGGUCCCAAAGUCAUGGUUAAGUGGGAAACGAUGUGGGAAGGCCCAGACAGCCAGGAUGUUGGCUUAGAAGCAGCCAUCAUUUAAAGAAAGCGUAAUAGCUCACUGGUCGAGUCGGCCUGCGCGGAAGAUGUAACGGGGCUAAACCAUGCACCGAAGCUGCGGCAGCGACACUAUGUGUUGUUGGGUAGGGGAGCGUUCUGUAAGCCUGUGAAGGUGUGCUGUGAGGCAUGCUGGAGGUAUCAGAAGUGCGAAUGCUGACAUAAGUAACGAUAAAGCGGGUGAAAAGCCCGCUCGCCGGAAGACCAAGGGUUCCUGUCCAACGUUAAUCGGGGCAGGGUGAGUCGACCCCUAAGGCGAGGCCGAAAGGCGUAGUCGAUGGGAAACAGGUUAAUAUUCCUGUACUUGGUGUUACUGCGAAGGGGGGACGGAGAAGGCUAUGUUGGCCGGGCGACGGUUGUCCCGGUUUAAGCGUGUAGGCUGGUUUUCCAGGCAAAUCCGGAAAAUCAAGGCUGAGGCGUGAUGACGAGGCACUACGGUGCUGAAGCAACAAAUGCCCUGCUUCCAGGAAAAGCCUCUAAGCAUCAGGUAACAUUAAAUCGUACCCCAAACCGACACAGGUGGUCAGGUAGAGAAUACCAAGGCGCUUGAGAGAACUCGGGUGAAGGAACUAGGCAAAAUGGUGCCGUAACUUCGGGAGAAGGCACGCUGAUAUGUAGGUGAAGUCCCUCGCGGAUGGAGCUGAAAUCAGUCGAAGAUACCAGCUGGCUGCAACUGUUUAUUAAAAACACAGCACUGUGCAAACACGAAAGUGGACGUAUACGGUGUGACGCCUGCCCGGUGCCGGAAGGUUAAUUGAUGGGGUUAGCGGUAACGCGAAGCUCUUGAUCGAAGCCCCGGUAAACGGCGGCCGUAACUAUAACGGUCCUAAGGUAGCGAAAUUCCUUGUCGGGUAAGUUCCGACCUGCACGAAUGGCGUAAUGAUGGCCAGGCUGUCUCCACCCGAGACUCAGUGAAAUUGAACUCGCUGUGAAGAUGCAGUGUACCCGCGGCAAGACGGAAAGACCCCGUGAACCUUUACUAUAGCUUGACACUGAACAUUGAGCCUUGAUGUGUAGGAUAGGUGGGAGGCUUUGAAGUGUGGACGCCAGUCUGCAUGGAGCCGACCUUGAAAUACCACCCUUUAAUGUUUGAUGUUCUAACGUUGACCCGU
rnacentral:rRNA from 1 species